GGUUGGGCAGUUAAGAGCAGUGAGGGCUCUUCCAGAGGACCUGAGUUCAAUUCCCAGCAACCACAUGGUGGCUCACAACCAUCUGUAAUGGGAUCUGAUGCCCUCUUCUGGUGUGUCUGAAGACAGCUAGUGUACUCAUAUACAUAAAAUAAAUAAAUUUUUAAAAAAUCAAAUCUGUAUCAAAACCCAGUGUAAAAUCACUUAAACAGGGUGAGGGGGUAUGACUCAGUGACAGUACUCAGCAUAUACAAAGGCUUGGGUUCAAUCUCCAUUAACUACUCCCGGUCACAAGACAAAACAUGACCAGGAAAUUAUUCUAUGGCCCGGAUCCUCAAGACUUCUGUUGCCCUCUGCCAGGUAGAGAAAGCACAGGAGUACUUGGGUUGGUAACUAUUUUGAAGGCGGUAGGUAUACCUAAUUAAAGGAGACCUGAAAAUGGAGAUGCCAGUGACCAAGAAUCACUUUCUUUCCAAGGAAAUGUUCACAAAGUGCCUAGUUUACAUGUUUGCCACUUUUGAACUGAGAUGGUAAAAUCCCAGCACUCGGGAGGCAGAGGCAUGUGGAUCUCUGUGAGUUCAAGGGCAGUCUUUCCUACAGAGUUCCAGGAUAGCCAGGGCAAUGCAGAAAAAUCCUAUCUUGUAAAGAAUCCAGCUCCGAAAAAAAGAACCAC
rnacentral:lncRNA from 1 species